rnacentral:rRNA from 1 species
CAGCAGCCGCGGUAAUACGAAGGGUGCAAGCGUUAAUCGGAAUUACUGGGCGUAAAGCGUGCGUAGGCGGUGAGUUAAGUCUGCUGUGAAAUCCCCGGGCUCAACCUGGGAAUGGCAGUGGAUACUGGCUCGCUAGAGUGUGUCAGAGGAUGGUGGAAUUCCCGGUGAAGCGGUGAAAUGCGUAGAGAUCGGGAGGAACAUCAGUGGCGAAGGCGGCCAUCUGGGACAACACUGACGCUGAGGCACGAAAGCGUGGGGAGCAAACAGGAUUAGAUACCCCCGUAGUCCCUGUCUCUUAUAC